GAGGAAUAUUGGUCAAUGGACGGAAGUCUGAACCAGCCAAGUAGCGUGCAGGAUGACGGCCCUAUGGGUUGUAAACUGCUUUUGUAUGGGGAUAAAGUUAGGGACGUGUCCCUAUUUGCAGGUACCAUACGAAUAAGGACCGGCUAAUUCCGUGCCAGCAGCCGCGGUAAUACGGAAGGUCCAGGCGUUAUCCGGAUUUAUUGGGUUUAAAGGGAGCGUAGGCAGGAGAUUAAGUGUGUUGUGAAAUGUAGACGCUCAACGUCUGAAUUGCAGCGCAUACUGGUUUCCUUGAGUACGCACAACGUUGGCGGAAUUCGUCGUGUAGCGGUGAAAUGCUUAGAUAUGACGAAGAACUCCGAUUGCGAAGGCAGCUGACGGGAGCGCAACUGACGCUUAAGCUCGAAGGUGCGGGUAUCGAACAGGAUUAGAUACCCUGGUAGUCCGCACAGUAAACGAUGGAUGCCCGCUGUUGGUACCUGGUAUCAGCGGCUAAGCGAAAGCAUUAAGCAUCCCACCUGGGGAGUACGCCGGCAACGGUG
rnacentral:rRNA from 1 species